CGCUGAGGCGCUGAGGGCUGAGGCUCUUAUGGCGCGCGGAACCCGCCGCAGCUGUGCGGGCCGUGAGGGCCCACACGUGUGGGGAGCCUCAGCGGGGUAACGCAGCCCUGAGGGUCCGCACAGCUCCGCUCCCUCCCUCCCAGCUGUGGGAAUGGAAAUUAAUGAAGCGCUGCGGGCUGGGUAUCUUGGUUAAAAAUAACAGAAUCUCAGAUAUUUAAAUAAAAUACUUGGAGUCUGAAAGAAGCUUCUAGCUUGCCUGGUUUACUUCAGUGCUGCAAGCGAUGUUUAAUUCCAAGGGUAUUUCUACCACAAAGUGAAGCAAGACUGAACAUCUCAGGCCUUUUGAAGAUCUAUACCUGAAACUUCAAAACAGGGUCCAAUCUCCACUUCCAGUGUAGAGAAAGAUCUGUUGUACAACUAAUGAUCAUUACGUGGCAUUGGCUUGAUGGUGCAAGUUUGGAUCCAGAGGAUAUUCCUACCAACUCUUUAAAAAUGUAACCAAAAAUAGUCAUAGGAAAGUCUUCUGUACCUUUGAGAAGUGUAAAGACCAAUAUAGUUAUUAUAAAAAGAGAAUUCUAGGUGGAGCUCCUCAAAUAGGAAGUAAUUGUGAAUGUUUCUUAUAACUGAAUACUGCUAAUGCAUGAUUUAGAGACUACACAAAAUAAAAGAUUUAGUUCA